rnacentral:tmRNA from 1 species
GGGCUAGUACUGGUUUCGACGGGGAUUUUGAAGUUCGGGAAGCCAUCCGUGGACUCCGGAACCACGUUAAAAGCUGGAAUUAAAUUUAAACGCUAACGAUAAUAGUUACGCACUCGCUGCCUAAGCGCAGCGUGUCGAUCGCCUGAGUUCCCGAGCCCGGGAUGAUCGGCAUCAUUUUAAUUCGGGGAACUUUCACUCCAAAGCUUUGAGGAGAGGAAAGAACUUAUGAAGCUACUUGACCUUAGAGCCUGUCAUCCGGCGCUCUGGAAGGGGAAUUUCAAUAGAAUGACUGUGAUGGAAGAAGCCGAAUGAAUAGAUUUUCGGACGCGGGUUCGAUUCCCGCCUGGUCCAUUC